UACAGAGGUCUCAAGCGUUGUUCGGAUUCAUUGGGCGUAAAGGGGUGCGUAGGUGGCGUGGUAAGUCGGGGUGUGAAAAUUUUCGGAGCUUAACUCCGAAACUGCAUUCGAUACUGCGGUGCUUGAGGACUGGAGAGGAGACUGGAAUUCAUGGUGUAGCAGUGAAAUGCGUAGAGAUCAUGAGGAAGACCAGUGGCGAAGGCGGGUCUCUGGACAGUUCCUGACGCUGAGGCACGAAGGUCAGGGGAGCAAACGGG
rnacentral:rRNA from 1 species